UUAUUGGGCGUAAAGAGCUUGUAGGUGGUUUGUCGCGUCUGCGGUGAAAUCCCAACGCUUAACGUUGGGCUUGCCGUGGGUACGGGCAGACUAGAGUGUGGUAGGGGAGACCGGAAUUCCUGGUGUAGCGGUGAAAUGCGCAGAUAUCAGGAGGAACACCGAUGGCGAAGGCAGGUCUCUGGGCCAUAACUGACACUGAGAAGCGAAAGCAUGGGGAGCGAACAGGAUUAGAUACCCUGGUAGUCCAUGCCGUAAACGUUGGGCGCUAGGUGUGGGGCUCAUUCCACGAGUUCCGUGCCGCAGCUAACGCAUUAAGCGCCCCGCCUGGGGAGUACGGCCGCAAGGCUAAAACUCAAAGGAAUUGACGGGGGCCCGCACAAGCGGCGGAGCAUGCGGAUUAAUUCGAUGCAACGCGAAGAACCUUACCAAGGCUUGACAUACACCGGAAACAUCCAGAGAUGGGUGCCCCGCAAGGUCGGUGUACAGGUGGUGCAUGGUUGUCGUCAGCUCGUGUCGUGAGAUGUUGGGUUAAGUCCCGCAACGAGCGCAACCCUCGUUCUAUGUUGCCAGCGCGUUAUGGCGGGGACUCAUAGGAGACUGCCGGGGUCAACUCGGAGGAAGGUGGGGAUGACGUCAAAUCAUCAUGCCCCUUAUGUCUUGGGCUUCACGCAUGCUACAAUGGCCGGUACAAAGGGCUGCGAUACCGCGAGGUGGAGCGAAUCCCAAAAAACCGGUCUCAGUUCGGAUUGGGGUCUGCAACUCGACCCCAUGAAGUCGGAGUCGC
rnacentral:rRNA from 1 species